rnacentral:rRNA from 1 species
GAUGAACGCUGACGGCGUGCCUAAUACAUGCAAGUCGAGCGAACGGACGAGAAGCUUGCUUCUCUGAUGUUAGCGGCGGACGGGUGAGUAACACGUGGAUAACCUACCUAUAAGACUGGGAUAACUUCGGGAAACCGGAGCUAAUACCGGAUAAUAUUUUGAACCGCAUGGUUCAAAAGUGAAAGACGGUCUUGCUGUCACUUAUAGAUGGAUCCGCGCUGCAUUAGCUAGUUGGUAAGGUAACGGCUUACCAAGGCAACGAUGCAUAGCCGACCUGAGAGGGUGAUCGGCCACACUGGAACUGAGACACGGUCCAGACUCCUACGGGAGGCAGCAGUAGGGAAUCUUCCGCAAUGGGCGAAAGCCUGACGGAGCAACGCCGCGUGAGCGAUGAAGGUCUUCGGAUCGUAAAACUCUGUUAUUAGGGAAGAACAUAUGUGUAAGUAACUGUGCACAUCUUGACGGUACCUAAUCAGAAAGCCACGGCUAACUACGUG